AGGCUUUAAAAAUUAUUCAUCUUGCAUGAAUGCAUGCCUAAGCAUGUGGUUAUUAUUUUAUUUCCUUUCUUUCUAAAUUUAGAAGGCUCAACUCAUUAAUUAAAUCGGUGAUUUAAUUUAUUCGGAAUCUGGCCGAACUGUGCGGGUACAAUAAAUUUCCCGAAUUACUUAAGUAUUUAAAAAAAAUACUUUCUGUGACUAAUAAAGUCCGCUUUAAAAAAAAUUAUCGAAAACUAGGAUAAUGGCUUCAACCAAGUUAAUGGUCCAAAAUAAUUCUCGGGCCUAGAAUAUUUCUUCCUUAAUUAAAAUCGGCCCAAACUCUUUUUUAUUUAAAUGGGCCCAAAGAGAAAUGAAUCAGACCCAAAUUUCUUAUUCCUCCAAUUGCAUCAGCCCCUAUCUCAUUCUCUCUCCAAAUUCCCAAUUCCAAAUUGGAAACGGGCGAACCCUAGCUCUCCUCACCCUCCUCCUUCCCGGUGACGGCGCCGCUGACCGUCGUUCGCCGCCGUCUCGCCCAAAAUUUGCUGCUGCUCGCCGACGGGAUCAGGGACACCACCGCUGUCCCACGACGGAAGCCUCCACUGCUGCACCGUUGAAAGUCUCGCAGCGUUGCUGUCACCCUAAUCGCCUCUCGCCGCCUGUUUGCUGCCGAUGGUGUUCACGCUCGGCAGGGGAGGGGGAGAGGGCACCACAUCCUCUGAGUUCCGGUUCCGGCCGAGAGCACCGUCGCCCGUCGCCAUAGCUAAGUCCCCUCUUUCAAAUUCUCAUGUCUUUUAAUUUCUUUGUUGAGGGGUUAAACAAGAAUCGAUAAUUCUAUGCUAAAUCUGACCGAACUCCUAAGUUAGCAUAUAUAUACAUUCCUGGUUCGUCCGACCCUUACUUUUAACUGGAGACUUGUGUUUACUUCAUGGCUGUGGAUUUUAUUCCGCGAUUCUGUCUCGGUUUUCAUUGAGGCGCAUAUUUUAUGGCUUAAGUAUUCUUGGCUUGGUUGUUAUGCCUGCGUGCUAACUACUAAGGGUUGCUCCCUGAUAUGGUUCUAGUGAGAUUUUGGUUGGGCACUGAAGCUAGCAUGCUGUGUUCUUAAGUUCUGCGGUAGAUUGCCUACUUAUUCUCAUGAAAUCGUUCUAUCAUGCUUGUAUUAUGGGGGGAGAAAGGGAGAGUGUUACCUCUCCACUGGCGGUGGCUUCUUGAGAUCUCUGUCUAGCUAGCUUCUAGGCUCCGACUCCCUCUCACUUGGCCCACUGUAUGCGAUUGUUUUUGUGAUGGCGUGGGCGGGAGCGUUGAGUCCUAUUUAUGCUUGUGAUCUAACUGAAAGCCUGAAAAGGCUGGUGUACUUGGCUGAAAAAGGGUCUCUGGUUGGUUAUGUGUUGGUUGCCUUCUCUGCAGCUUUGCAGAGUGUAUAUUCUGACUCUUUUGGCUUCUUUCCCAACUGAUUCUGGUGGUUCUUGGGGUGUACUCGUGAGUUUGUAGUGGCUGCUGCACUCUGCAGCCCCUUUAACUGAAUUAGUACUUGUGAACACUUGAUACCUUGCUCAUUUAUAGGUCUUGUCUUCUGUGGCAGGUGCACCACUGAAUUGUAGGGGUUUGAGACUCCCAUCCUCGGCAACUGGUGGCUGUGAGCUGGAGGUACGAGUUGUCCCUCCUGGUCUUACCAGAUCCUGCAGCUAUUGGAUGAGUGUGCCGGCUGGCUUGCUUCUUUUAGCCGGGCACUUCCCUUUUUUUUUCUGGAAAGGAGCUGAGGCUGGCCACCGAGCUGUCCUCUCUUAUGGUCUCACCCUCUCGGGCUCGUCUGAAAUUCUGGGCCGAGACGGCCUAUUGAUGAAGGCUGACAUAGUCGCUAGGAUCGCGAGUUGUAUAGCAUAGUUUACACUUUCUUUACCGUAUGAACGGAAGGCUUGACGAUGGUUGAUGUAUAUUUCUUUCUAGUCUUUGUAAUUCAUUAUCUUUGAAUUUCUGAAAUUUGUAUUUAUACUCUUAUUCAAGAAAUAAUAAAUACUCCUUCAUUCUUUUAAUAAAA